UACGUAGGUGGCGAGCGUUGUCCGGAAUUACUGGGUGUAAAGGGCGUGUAGGCGGGGAAUCAAGUCAGAUGUGAAAUCCCGGGGCUCAACUCCGGAGUUGCAUCUGAAACUGUUUUUCUUGAGUGCUGGAGAGGAAAGCGGAAUUCCUAGUGUAGCGGUGAAAUGCGUAGAUAUUAGGAGGAACACCAGUGGCGAAGGCGGCUUUCUGGACAGUAACUGACGCUGAGGCGCGAAAGCUAGGGGAGCAAACGGGAUUAGAUACCCGGGUAGUCCCUGA
rnacentral:rRNA from 1 species